GCUUGGAAGGCUGUGAGUUCAAAUCCCACCACCUCCAAGUUGCCACUGCUGGGCCCUUGAGCAAGGCCCUUAA